rnacentral:lncRNA from 1 species
AGACCGCCUGGCCUUGGGUGGAUCGGGUCUCUGGGCAGAGCGUGUGUCCGGCAGAGCUAGGACCGGAAAAAGCCACUCUAGGUCUAGGUUAGGAGUGAUGACAGUUAAAAGAUAUAUAAGGAAAAGAAGGAAAGGAUCGUUUCUGUAUAAAACGAGCUAUUUUUGCAUAUCGAGCGCAUAAGUUUUAUAACUUAGGUGUCUGUUUAUGGAGAGGGUGGGAUACUACCUUUUAGCUCAAGGAGUGCACAAAACGGUAUCAUGAAUUCUGCUCUUUUGAUUCAAACACCCAACUUUGAAGAAUCGCUCAUGGUGCUUGUAAAACACGUAUCCCCAGAUCCCUCCCUAGACCUAUCGAACAACUCCAACGGUCUCGGGAAUGUGCGUGGUUUCUGAAAAGCUUGGGAAGCAAGACCUGACUAGACCCCCAAAUCUGAUAUUGGCUGAAUGGCCGACCAAUGGAGUGCAUAAGAAGGUAAGUUGUCAUGUGGCACUCUCAUCACAUUUUCAGGGUAGAGGACUUUCUGAAAUACAGAGGAGGUGUAAGGGGAACUAAGAAAACACUUGAUUACAGCACAUGGUAGCUGGCACAUAGGAAGGUCCUUACUGUUGGCUGAGCCUUGUUCUUUCCCAACAUUGAGACAUCGAGAGCAGCCCAAGCAGCAAAAAGAUUACGAAGACAGCUUGAGCCAGGGUCUUUAGACUACACAGCUUCUGCUUUUUCCCCUCUGUGAAGGAUGCCUAGGGACUGUGCUGGCAGCCCAGCUCCAGCCCUUGAUCCUGAACUUCUGCCUUCCUGGAACUUGCAAACUGAAUGUGAAUAUUCAGUUGCAUGUUGCAUGUUUCCUUCCGGGGCUACUUUAUUGCAAAUUUUAACUUAAAUUUGACCUGGUUAACUGCAGGCCACAUUGAGGACAGCUUCUGUCUUGAUGUUAGAGAAAAACUCUUAUAAAAAUAAAUCUUUUAAUAACCAGAGAAAACCAUCCAACUCCUGAAAGAUGCUUUUCAUAGUAAAACUGAUGGUUUUCAAAACACUUUGACAUGUGUGCUUAUUUAAUCUUCAUAGAAAACUGUAAAGCUUAUUCCACAAGCCAUAAUGGAAGAAAUCAGGUUGGGGGCUCAAUUCUCAGAGCCUGUUGGCUCUAGGCAGAAAGGGAGUUACUACACUUUAGGGCAAUUUGCACUUCAAAUAGCUGGCCCUUGAGCAGACAGGUCCCUCUGCUCUUUCCAAGCCACCCAAAAGCAAUAGUUUUGACAUUAGUGCCCUGCAAGGCAUAGCCUAGGCAUUAGGGUCUAGGUUCAGAAAGUGUUUCCUUCUGGAAUGAAACUGAAAUGAAAGAAAUGGGUUAUUUUGUGCUAGUCCUUUCGAUUAGGACUCUCCUUAAGCUAAAUGUACUGAUAAGAUUGGGACAACACCCAUACCCAAUCAGAAAACUCCAGUCUUGAAAAUCAACUCUUUAAGAUAAACAGUUUGAUUUGUGACAGGUUUUCCGGUAAUCUCACAAGCGCAUCAGGGACUGAUAAAAAAGGAAAGGAGGCACUUUUUCAGUGUAAAAAUGGCUUUACUCUGGGGAAUGCAAAGAGAUGACAACUAAGAACUCACAUUCAGAAGUCAGGUGUUCAAAUCGUAGCUCUGCCCUAAGAGUGACCUUGGGAAGUUACUUUUCUAGGACUUGUUUCCUCAUCCAUAAAAUGGGUGAGUGAUGAGGACAAUGUUUAUCACAGUUGUGAUUACAUCAUAUAUAUAUAUAAAGUACUUACAACCGUGCUACAUAGUGAGACCUAUUAAUACUUUUCAACUCUGAAACUUUUAAAACUAGCACCCGGCUGGGCGUGGUGGCUCACACCUGUAAUCCCAGAACUUUGGGAGGCCAAGGCAGGCAGAUCACUUAAGGUCCGGAGUUCAAGACCAACCUGGCCAAAAUGAUGAAACCCCAUCUCUACUAAAAAUACAACUACCCGGGCGUGGUGGUGGGCGUCUGUAAUCCCAGAUACUCAGGAGGCUGAGGCACGAGAAUCACUUGAAUCCAGGAGGCAGAGGUUGCAGUGAGCUGAGAUAGCGCCACCACACUCCAUUCUGGGCAAGAGAGUGAGACUGCGUCUCAAAAAAAAAAAAGUAUUUCAAAAGCAGAGGUUUUGCAAAGCUGAAGGCCUAAAAAAAAGUAUAUAAUUACAGUUCAAACUUAUUUGAUGGGCACAAAUCCAAGUUUGUCAACAUGCUCUGUUAGCAAGAUACAG